CUUCGACUUGCGACGAGAGCAUCGUUCCGGUGGAGGAUCCGUUCACUUCGCCGUCGGGGAGGAAAUCGUCGCUGCCCGGAAAUUAUGAUCAGUAAAAUCUCUAUGUCGAAGAAAUCGAUGGAAGUCAAAACCCCCCAAACAACCAGAUACGCCGAAGGGGAGAUCGAGUCGCAUACUCCGACGGGAAGAGCGAUGAGUAUGAAUUCGGAGAGCCAACUACGAGGAUGACGAUGAGUCCACGAACACGGAGAAGUUCCGGACACGCCUCCGAUUCUGAACUGCCAUAGUAUAUAUACAUAUAUAUAUGUAGAUAUAAACAUAUGAAGUUGGAAAAAGAUGAUGAUUAUAGAACACUUCCAUUUUGACUAGUGUCUCAA